rnacentral:rRNA from 1 species
AUUGAACGCUGGCGGCAUGCUUUACACAUGCAAGUCGGACGAGUGGCGAACGGGUGAGUAAUAUAUCGGAACGUACCGAGUAAUGGGGGAUAACUAAUCGUAAGAUUAGCUAAUACCGCAUAUUAUUCGAGCGGCCUAUAUCUGAUUAGCUAGUUGGUGGGGUAACGGCCUACCAAGGCGACGAUCAGUAGCGGGUCUGAGAGGAUGAUCGUCCACACUGGGACUGAGAAACGGCCCAGACUCCUCCGGGAGGCAGCAGUGGGGAAGUUUGGACAAUGGGCGCAAGCCUGAUCCAGCCAGGCCGCGUGUCUGAAGAAGGCCUUCGGGUUGUAAAGGACUUUUGUCAGGGAAGCGGUACCUGAAGAAUAAGGACCGGCUAACUACGUGCCAGCAGCCGCGGUAAUAC